rnacentral:rRNA from 1 species
CCUACGGGAGGCAGCAGUGGGGAAUAUUGCGCAAUGGGCGAAAGCCUGACGCAGCGACGCCGCGUGAGGGAUGAAGGCCUUCGGGUUGUAAACCUCUUUCAGCAGGGACGAAAUCAGACGGUACCUGCAGAAGAAGCACCGGCCAACUACGUGCCAGCAGCCGCGGUAAUACGUAGGGUGCAAGCGUUGUCCGGAAUUAUUGGGCGUAAAGAGCUCGUAGGCGGUUUGUCGCGUCGGCUGUGAAAACUCGGGGCUCAACCCCGAGCCUGCAGUCGAUACGGGCAGACUAGAGUGCUGUAGGGGAGACUGGAAUUCCUGGUGUAGCGGUGAAAUGCGCAGAUAUCAGGAGGAACACCGGUGGCGAAGGCGGGUCUCUGGGCAGUAACUGACGCUGAGGAGCGAAAGCGUGGGGAGCAAACAGGAUUAGAUACCCUGGUAGUCCACGCCGUAAACGGUGGGUGCUAGGUGUAGGUCGUAUUCCACGCGAUCUGUGCCGCNGCUACGCAUAGCACCCCGCCGUCGGGAGGUACGGCCGCGACGGACGUAAAACUUAAACUAGAAGUUAGACGGCGUGAGACGUCGCCGACGGACGACGACGAGGGAGGUUAGG